rnacentral:rRNA from 1 species
AGCGAACGCUGGCGGCAGGCCUAACACAUGCAAGUCGAACGAACCUUUCGGGGUUAUUGGCGGACGGGUGAGUAACACGUGGGAACUUGCCCUUAGGUUCGGAAUAACUCAGGUAAACUUGUGCUAAUACCGAAUGUGCCCUUCGGGGGAAAGAUUUAUUGCCUUUAGAGCGGCCCGCGUCUGAUUAGCUAGUUGGGUGAGGUAAUGGCUCACCAAGGCGACGAUCAGUAGCUGGUCUGUGAGGAUGAUCAGCCACAUUGGGACUGAGACACGGCCCAAACUCCUACGGAAGGGAGCAGUGGGGAAUCUUGCGCAAUGGGCGAAAGCCUGACGCAGCCAUGCCGCGUGAAUGAUGAAGGUCUUAGGAUUGUAAAAUUCUUUCACCGGGGACGAUAAUGACGGUACCCGGAGAAGAAGCCCCGGCUAACUUCGUG